rnacentral:tRNA from 1 species
GCCCAUGUAGCUCAGCAGGUAGAGCGUUUCCUUGGUAAGGAAGAGGUUCACCGGUUCAAGCCCGGUCAUGGGCUCCA